rnacentral:lncRNA from 1 species
AAAUCAAAUAAUCACAUUAUAUUAUAAAAUAUCCCAUAAUCCUAGAAAACAAAAUCAUAUCAUUAUUCUAUUUAUAGUAGACAUAAUUAAAUCCAGAGAAAAGAUCAUUACUGUAGCAAAAUAACAAGAAAGAAAUCAAGAGUAAAGAAAAAUCAAAUCCUUUUCGAUUCUUGAUCCUUGUCUCCUUUGAUUUCUUCUUAUUUCUCUCGUUGAAAACCCUUUUCUUUUCUCUCAAAAACUAUCGUUCUUUGCCUCUUUCAACCUCUUCUCUUACCUACUAAAAUAGUCCUAUUUAUAGGCUCUAAAAAGCCUUAAAAAUUUAAUUCCCGAAUAGUUUAAUCCUAUUGAAACAAGUUGGGCAUCGCGACGCUCCACACUUGGAUUUUUUUUCAUUAUCUUCUAACCAAAGCCAUGGCCCUCCUCCUUGGGCACUGUAGCACUAGCCUCUUAAGAAUUUGUAUGGGAGUGCUGAUAUCCCUUUGGGCACUGUGACCUUGUGUCUUUGAAGGCCAUGGCAUUGUUCCUUGUGCUGCCUUGGUGUAGACUACUUUCGUAACUCAUUGUGCAACAUGAUUUUCUUCUACCUUGAGGCUGACAUGAGAAAAAUGGUAAGCAUAAAAGUUGUAGGUCUACCUCUCAGAUUUCCAAUGGUUGAAGAAUCAUGUUGAUUGAAUCUCUGUAGCUCAAGUUAUACUAAAAUUACCAUAGCAUGUUCAGUGGAAAUCUACUCUUAGCAUUCUUUGCAUAGUUCAUCAUCGUUUAACUUAUGAACUUGAGCACCUACCAAAACAAAGACUAAACUAGUUAUAAUAUCCCAUACUUUGAUAUGGUGACUAAUAAAGAUUAUUGGAUCCCAAUUGAGGUUAAUUAUAAUGUUUAAAAGUGAUGAAAGAUGAAAGGAAUAGUUUAGGAUAAAAUAUUCCGCACUUGAGAAAAUAAUAAUAAAAUAAUUAUAUAUUUUUUUAGGAAGAAUUUGUGAGAUAAAAAGUGAUUCGGAAGUCAAUUGAGGCAUAAUAAUGUAUUUUGGGUACCAAGGAGACAAGAGGAGACAAAAGGAAAUUUUUAGAAUAAAAUAAUAUUUUAUUAAUUAAAUAAUAUUAAAAUAUUAAUAUUUUAUUCAGUGUCAAAAUUUUUCAUGAAGGAGUAUAUGGGCAACCUAAGUGGGGAAGAAGAAGAAUGAGAAAAAUUUUGGAGAAAAAUGACGUUAAUGGGGUCGCGUGUCUUUAUUAAGUAAAGAUAGCACAAGUAAAUAAAUAUUUUAAAUAUUAUGGAGACACCACGUUAGAGUACAAACUUCAUACUUUGUUUGUACAUGUGUAGAAAAAGAUAAUAUUAGGAAAUUGGAGUUAAAUGAGUGUUGGGAGGACUAAGUUAAGAUGGAAAGAAACUUAAAGGGAAAAACAGUAAUUUUGGAUAAAGUUUGGUCAAAGCUUCCAAAAGAAGCUUUGACUCUCAUCUUUAUCAACCCAAAACCGUCCUUAUCCUCCCAGCAAGAUAUUUUCUUCUUCAUUCUUGAAGCUUCCAACGCCAUUCUCUCAUUCUCCCAUGGAAAGCUAAUUUUCUUUCAUUUACUUUCCUUCUUUUCUUUUCAUUUCUUUUCUCUUCUUGCUUCUUUCUUCUCCUAACUUCUUGUGCACCAAAGUUACUGUCAUGACCCGGCACUCCCCUCAAGCCAGUGACAACCGUCGCGGUGUCUUGAUCGACACUCAUUGCUCGGAAUGUCAACCAAAAUCCUGCAAGGCUUUAAUAUUAGUUUCUCAUUUCCCCUGUGAGUAACUGUUACCAAAUAUCAUGUUCUAAAAGAUUUGAAGCUAUUUCCAACUUAAAUCAAUAAAAAAAAUGAUUUCUAUCUCAUAGAGGUAUUUUGGUUAUUUUUUUCCAAAAAUCUCGAAACCAGCUAAAAAUGUAGUAUGCGAGUGGAAAACACAUAUUUCAUAAUCAAAAAUAAGUUUAGAUGCCUAAAACAUUCAUUUAAAAUGAAAUUAUGACUAUUUGAAUAUAAUAAAAAUAUUCAAUAAAAUAUUCUAUUUUCUUAUAAAACAAUAUUUAUAGAAUUACCAGUAAAUAAAUUUUAUAGCGUAAAAGCUAAAUAAAUUCAUACAUACUGUAAUACAGAUAACCAAAGUAUAAAAUUAAUUUACAGUGACACGUGGGCCCACGAAUGACUAAAAGUAUCAAAAGUGGCAAACCUACAGUUUUUGAGGAUGCAAGUCCAAUUGUAGCCCUUAACAAAGUGAGCUAUCUACCGACUAUCCUGAGCCUAAAAUGGGUGGAAAGGAGGGUGGUGAGAUUAUAUAAUCCCAGUGAGUAAACAAAUACCAUCUAAAAUAUCUAAAACUGAGUAAAUGGAAACAGAUAAAAUAGAUUAGCAUAAAAAUGAUUCUCAGCAUUUUGAACUCAUUUUAAUAAGAUAAAAUAGAUUCAUUUCACCAAAAUAAACAACGAGGCUUAUGAUUUCCUGAAAAGUUUGGCUCGUGCCAAAAUCAUUCUCAUACUCAAUUAUCAGGGAUACCUUGACCGAGGGCUAUCCCAACUGAGUCGGCCAAGGCUGUUAAAAAGUCAUGUACGCAUAAAUCAUGUUUUUUUUUUUAUUUUGAAAACAUAGUCGUUCCUUGGCAUUGGCUGCGUUCACCCUCACGUGGUGGUUUGGCGUGAAGUGAACUCUAAAGUUUUAACCUCAGGAGUUAUCCAACCGCGCCUCUCAUACUUAGGUAUGAAUAUAAUAGGGUUACCGUGCCCCUCAAUAGGCUGGUCCAUGGAACCCGUCCAUUGCAACGACCAAUUUAUAACCCACCAAUUCAAUAAAAUUCAACAGCAUGACAUGGCAAUUAUUUUAUUUUACAGCCUCUCAAGGCAAAUCAACAGUUCAUACAUUUUCAACACAAAUACCAAUUCAACCAUUCAUGCCAAUAUUAUCAUAAGCCAUUCAAUUCAAACCAUGAUUUAUAACACAGCAAUUAGUCUCCAAUUACUCCAUUUUCAAAGCCAUCAUUCAAUUUCAAGACAAUUUUAUAAAAUCAUUUCAUUUAAUCACAUUUUGCUUAUAAAACAUAAAGAUUUACCAUUUAAACUCAUUUUCCAUAAAAUCACAAAAACGAAUUAAAAUUCACUUUAGAUAAUCAAGAUGAUGAUAAGGUUACUCACUGUAAUGGGAAUCGAAUUUCGAGUACUCCGAUUCUUGAUCCUCGAUUUCUAUCUCUUUACUUUUGUCAAAAUGCUCACCACAUAGACAAUACACGACACAUAAUUCAAUAUACUGUGUCAUACCAUUAUAAAUCUAUUUCAGGCUCUUUACUAAUGCAUGAAAUGGGAUGUGAAACGCUCGGGUAACCAUCUAAAUAUGGUGUUCAGUAUAAGUUCAAUUGUGUACCUAAAUAAAAUGAUAUUGGCCUAAUUCGGUCUGUCACCCGAUUAAUUGGCCAAUAUGUCCAAUUCAACUCCAAAUAAUUCCAUUUUUAUCCCAAUACUCCAAAUCAUCAAACACAAAUUAAAUAACCUGAAAUAUGGCAAAAUCAUCCUCACAUUUUCUCUUGGAAAUUUCGGCCAUGGAGGGUUCACUAACAAUAUAAUUUUUCAAGCUUGAUUCUCACACCAUAAAUCACUAAUUCUUAACCAAAUCACUUGAAAUAAAAUCAAAAUCAUCAUCAAUAUUCCACAUGGAGAAUUCGGCCAAUGAUGGGUUAUGGAAGAACAUGAAAUUUUCUUGCUUGAUUUUCAUGCUACACAUCAUUAACUAACUAAAAACACUAAAAUACAUUGAAAUCUAACCAAAUCAAGCAUCAAACCUCCCUCUAAGUGUUCGGCCAGCAAGAGAUUCAUCAUGAUUUCAUAUGAUUCAACCAUGAAAAAUAAGAAAAAAUGCUUACGAAAAAGAGAUCUCAAGCUUAAUUGAAAAAUCUUACCUUUUUUUCACUUGUUUCCUUGAAUUUUCACACUUUUCCUUUGAAUUUUUCCACCUAGAGUUUUGUUCUUCCUUUUUCUUCCUUUGUUCUUGCUUUGGC